CCCUUAGACGUUCUGGGCCGCACGCGCGCUACACUGACGAAGGCAACGAGCUACUCUUCACCGAAAGGUGUGGGUAAUCUUUUGAAACUUCGUCGUGCUGGGGAUAGAUCCUUGCUAUUUUUGAUCUUAAACGAGGAAUUCCUAGUAAGCGCAAGUCAUCAACUUGCGUUGAUUACGUCCCUGCCCUUUGUACACACCGCCCGUCGCUACUACCGAUUGAAUGGUUUAGUGAGGCCUUCGGAUCCGCGAUUUUAUUGUGGAGAAGUUGGACAAACUCAGUCAUUUAGAGGAAGUAAAAGUCGUAACA
rnacentral:rRNA from 1 species